rnacentral:rRNA from 1 species
GCAUAUCAAUAAGCGGAGGAAAAGAAACCAACCGGGAUUGCCUCAGUAACGGCGAGUGAAGCGGCAAGAGCUCAAAUUUGAAAGCUGGCUCCUUCGGGGUCCGCAUUGUAAUUUGCAGAGGAUGCUUCGGGUGCAGCCCCCGUCUAAGUGCCCUGGAACGGGCCGUCAUAAAGGGUGAGAAUCCCGUAUGGGGCGGGGUGUCUGCGUCCGUGUGAAGCUCCUUCCACAAGUCAAGUUGUUUGGGAAUGCAGCUCUAAAUGGGUGGUAAAUUUCAUCUAAAGCUAAAUACUGGCCGGAGACCAAUAGCGCACAAGUAGAGUGAUCGAAAGAUGAAAAGCACUUUGAAAAGAGAGUUAAACAGCACGUGAAAUUGUUGAAAGGGAAGCGCUUGCAACCAGACUCGCUCGCGGGGUUCAGCCGGGCUUCGGCCCGGUGUACUUCCCCGCGGGCGGGCCAGCGUCGGUUUGGGCGGCCGGUCAAAGGCCUCCGGAAUGUAGCGCCCUUCGGGGCGCAUUAUAGCCGGGGGUGCAAUGCGGCCAGCCUGGACCGAGGAACGCGCUUCGCACGUCGCUGG